rnacentral:lncRNA from 1 species
UUGUUUAUCAUGCGCUUGACAAUGUGUGUUUCUUUGUUUUAAUCCUGACCAUUGACUUUGAUUAAUCAAUGGCUCUUGUUUACUAUCCUUAACUUAUUCUCUCAUCAGAUCAAAAAAUCAGAAUAUAAAAAAAAAUAAAAUAAGAAAAAGUUUAUGAUAAUAAACUUGAGCGCUUGAUUAAUCGAAUUCAAUGUCCAAGAUUAAAAGAAAUAGACACACACUGUUAAU